AUCUAUGGCCAUACCACCCUGAACGUGCCUGAUCUCGUCUGAUCUCGGAAGCUAAGCAAGGUUGGGCCUGGUUAGUACUUGGAUGGGAAACCACCUAGGAAGACCAGGAACUGUAGACU
rnacentral:rRNA from 1 species